rnacentral:rRNA from 1 species
GACGAACGCUGGCGGCGUGCCUAAUACAUGCAAGUAGAACGCUGAAGAGAGGAGCUUGCUCUUCUUGGAUGAGUUGCGAACGGGUGAGUAACGCGUAGGUAACCUGCCUUGUAGCGGGGGAUAACUAUUGGAAACGAUAGCUAAUACCGCAUAACAAUGGAUGACACAUGUCAUUUAUUUGAAAGGGGCAAUUACUCCACUACAAGAUGGACCUGCGUUGUAUUAGCUAGUAGGUGAGGUAAUGGCUCACCUAGGCGACGAUACAUAGCCGACCUGAGAGGGUGAUCGGCCACACUGGGACUGAGACACGGCCCAGACUCCUACGGGAGGCAGCAGGAGGGAAUCUUCGGCAAUGGGGGCAACCCUGACCGAGCAACGCCGCGGGAGGGAAGAAGGUUUUCGGAUCGUAAAGCUCUGUUGUAAGUCAAGAACGGGUGUGAGAGUGGAAAGUUCACACUGUGACGGUAGCUUACCAGAAAGGGACGGCUAACUACGUG